AUGAACGCUGGCGGCGUGCCUAAUACAUGCAAGUCGAGCGAACGGACGAGAAGCUUGCUUCUCUGAUGUUAGCGGCGGACGGGUGAGUAACACGUGGAUAACCUACCUAUAAGACUGGGAUAACUUCGGGAAACCGGAUCUAAUACCGGAUGAUAUUUUGAACCGCAUGGUUCAAAAGUGAAAGACGGUCUUGCUGUCACUUAUAGAUGGAUCCGCGCUGCAUUAGCUAGUUGGUAAGGUAACGGCUUACCAAGGCAACGAUGCAUAGCCGACCUGAGAGGGUGAUCGGCCACACUGGAACUGAGACACGGUCCAGACUCCUACGGGAGGCAGCAGUAGGGUAUCUUCCGCAAUGGGCGAAAGCCUGACGGAGCAACGCCGCGUGAGUGAUGAAGGUCUUCGGAUCGUAAAACUCUGUUAUUAGGGAAGAACAUAUGUGUAAGUAACUGUGCACAUCUUGACGGUACCUAAUCAGAAAGCCACGGCUAACUACGUG
rnacentral:rRNA from 1 species